rnacentral:rRNA from 1 species
ACACGAACCGUACGAACGUUAUUCGGAAUUACUGGGCUUAAAGAGUGCGUAGGCGGCUUGGAAGGUUGGAUGUGAAAUCCCUCGGCCUAACCGAGGAAUUGCGUUCAAAACCGCCAAGCUUGAGGAAGGCAGAGGUGAGCGGAACUGAUGGUGGAGCGGUGAAAUGCGUUGAUAUCAUCAGGAACACCGGUGGCGAAGGCGGCUCACUGGGCCUUUUCUGACGCUGAGGCACGAAAGCUAGGGGAGCGAACGGGAUUAGAAACCCUAGUAGUCC